rnacentral:snRNA from 1 species
UCUGCUUUAGCACGCGUACUCUCAAAGACAUGGAGCAAUACAGAGAAGAUUAGUAUGGCCCCUGUAAAUAUGAGACGGUGCACACAUUCCUAAAGCAUUCCUGUGUUUU